rnacentral:rRNA from 1 species
AUACGGAGGGUGCAAGCGUUAAUCGGAAUUACUGGGCGUAAAGCGUACGUAGGCGGUUCGUUAAGUUAGAUGUGAAAGCCCCGGGCUUAACCUGGGAACUGCAUUUAAAACUGGCGAACUAGAGUUGAGUAGAGGCGAGUGGAAUUUCAGGUGUAGCGGUGAAAUGCGUAGAGAUCUGAAGGAACACCAGUGGCGAAGGCGACUCCCUGGACUCGAACUGACGCUGAGGUACGAAAGCGUGGGUAGCAAACGGGAGUAGAAACCCUAGUAGUCC